AAAGCUUUAAGUUAAAUAAACUAAUAACCUUCAAAGUUAUAAAUAAUACCAAUUAAGCUUUG
rnacentral:tRNA from 1 species